UCCAGACUCCUACGGGAGGCAGCAGUGGGGGAUAUUGCACAAUGGGGGGAACCCUGAUGCAGCAACGCCGCGUGGGUGAAGGAGUGCUUCGGCAUGUAAAGCCCUCUCGGCAGGGAAGAAGCAAGACGGUACCUCUUGAAUAAGCCACGGCUAACUACGUGCCAGCAGCCGCGGUAAUACGUAGGUGGCAAGCGUUGUCCGGAUUUACUGGGUGUAAAGGGCGUGUAGCCGGGCCGGCAAGUCAGAUGUGAAAUCCCAAGGCGCAACCUUGGAACUGCAUUUGAAACUGUUGGUCUUGAGUAUCGGAGAGGCAGGCGGAAUUCCUAGUGUAGCGGUGAAAUGCGUAGAUAUUAGGAGGAACACCAGUGGCGAAGGCGGCCUGCUGGACGACAACUGACGGUGAGGCGCGAAAGCGUGGGGAGCAAACAGGAUUAGAGACCCGCGUACAA
rnacentral:rRNA from 1 species